UUUGGAGGUGUGUAGGGAAAGGAAGGAUACCAUGUCUGGGCCAAAUUGUUUCCAAUAAUUAUUGAUGCUGAGAUUUAAAUGAAGAAGUCAAAUAAUUUGAUCUUUCUGUCAAAGCAACCCAAAGAGCCCAAGGAGGCAUGGGGAGAUCUAGACACAAAAUCAUAUCUCUUGGACAACUUUGCAACAUCACGGACUUCCAUCUGCAGCCUUGGCAAAGAUGCAGGCUACCUUGGCACUCAAGACCAGACCACUGAGGAAGAUUUCAUCCCACUCCUUCCUCCUGUGCCAAGGACACCGAUGAGGAACAAGAUUGGCAAGACUCGAGUGUCAAGGAUGAACGACGAUAGUAAUUUUGAACACCAAAUGAACUUCCAGUCCUUCAGGGCACACAGACCAUCCAUAGCUCAGAGAUUAUAUCCAACCCAGCAGAAGAAUUCUAUGUUCUUCUGGAGUAAGAGAAUGAAUAUUUGGGCUCACAAGGAACAAAGCCACCCUGGCAGGUUCUCCCAUCGCCUCCAGAGAAUAAUUUCAUUUUUGAGAUACUUAUGCAGGUGCGCCUAUACUUGUCAGAAUCCAAAGGAAAAAAAAGUCAUUCAAAGUCAAGAAGUACCAAGCUAGGGCAGUUUACCACCCGAGACUUGGGUGAGAGCCAGAAGAGCCAAAAGUAAUGAUGCCUUAUGACCUGAAGCUACCCAAGAACUCCCAGGAAAGAGAUGCUUGGAAGUUAGAAAUGACAUGUUUCCUGGUUGGAAAUAAAAGCAAAAUUUAAUUUUGCUACUGAUAA